rnacentral:rRNA from 1 species
UAGCAUAUCAAUAAGGGGAGGAAAAGAAACCAACAGGGAUUGCCCUAGUAACGGCGAGUGAAGCGGCAACAGCUCAAAUUUGAAAUCUGGCGUCUUUGGCGUCCGAGUUGUAAUUUGCAGAGGGCGCUUUGGCAUUGGCAGCGGUCCAAGUUCCUUGGAACAGGACGUCACAGAGGGUGAGAAUCCCGUACGUGGUCGCUAGCCUUUACCGUGUAAAGCCCCUUCGACGAGUCGAGUUGUUUGGGAAUGCAGCUCUAAAUGGGAGGUAAAUUUCUUCUAAAGCUAAAUACUGGCCAGAGACCGAUAGCGCACAAGUAGAGUGAUCGAAAGAUGAAAAGCACUUUGGAAAGAGAGUUAAAAAGCACGUGAAAUUGUUGAAAGGGAAGCGCUUGCAGCCAGACUUGCCUGUAGUUGCUCAUCCGGGUUUUUACCCGGUGCACUCUUCUAUAGGCAGGCCAGCAUCAGUUUGGGCGGUUGGAUAAAGGUCUCUGUCAUGUACCUCUCUUCGGGGAGAACUUAUAGGGGAGACGACAUGCAACCAGCCUGGACUGAGGUCCGCGCAUCUGCUAGGAUGCUGGCGUAAUGGCUGUAAGCGGCCCGUCUUGAAACACGGACCAAGGAGUCUAACAUCUAUGCGAGUGUUUGGGUGUCAAGCCCGAGCGCGUAAUGAAAGUGAACGGAGGUGGGAACCUUUCGGGGUGCACCAUCGACCGAUCCUGAUGUCUUCGGAUGGAUUUGAGUAAGAGCAUAGCUGUUGGGACCCGAAAGAUGGUGAACUAUGCUUGAAUAGGGUGAAGCCAGAGGAAACUCUGGUGGAGGCUCGCAGCGGUUCUGACGUGCAAAUCGAUCGUCAAAUUUGGGCAUAGGGGCGAAAGACUAAUCGAACUAUCUAGUAGCUG